rnacentral:lncRNA from 1 species
CAGAUUAUCGACUCUUGUGGUGAAUUCUCCAAUGUACCUCUUUGUAACACCCCAAAAUUUGCCCUCCUCAUUCAUGCAUUCAUUUUUAGGUCAUUUAACAUUUCAUAUUGCAUUUCAUCAUGUCAAUCAGAAUCAGAUCCAAGAAACUUUAUUUAAAAAACAAAAAAAAACGAAAAUAAAUAAAUAAAUAAAUAAAUAAAAGAAAAAAUCUCAG